UACGGAGGGUGCAAACGUUGCUCGGAAUCAUUGGGCGUAAAGCGCACGUAGGCGGUACAGCAAGUCGGAUGUGAAAGCCCUCGGCUCAACCGAGGAAGUGCAUUCGAAACUGCUGAACUUGAAUAUGGAAGAGGGUCGCGGAAUUCCCGGUGUAGAGGUGAAAUUCGUAGAUAUCGGGAGGAACACCAGUGGCGAAGGCGGCGACCUGGGCCAAUAUUGACGCUGAGGUGCGAAAGCGUGGGGAGCAAACAGG
rnacentral:rRNA from 1 species